rnacentral:rRNA from 1 species
UAGGGAAUCUUCGGCAAUGGACGAAAGUCUGACCGAGCAACGCCGCGUGAGUGAAGAAGAUUUCCGGAUCGUAAAACUCUGUUGUUAGAGAAGAACAAGGACGUUAGUAACUGAACGUCCCCUGACGGUAUCUAACCAGAAAGCCACGGCUAACUACGUGCCAGCAGCCGCGGUAAUACGUUGGUGGCAAGCGUUGUCCGGAUUUAUUGGGCGUAAAGCGAGCGCAGGCGGUUUCUUAAGGCUGAUGUGAAAGCCCCCGGCUCAACCGGGGAGGGUCAUUGGAAACUGGGAGACUUGAGUGCAGGAGAGGAGAGUGGAAUUCCAUGUGUAGCGGUGAAAUGCGUAGAUAUAUGGAGGAACAACAGUGGCGAACGCGGCUCUCUGGGCUGUAACUGACGCUGAGGCUCGAAAGCGUGGGGAGCAAACAGG